GGGGCUCUUGGCACAAAGGCAGUGCACAUGCUUUGCAUGCUUGAGGCUGUGGGUUCAAAUCCCAGAGUCCCA
rnacentral:tRNA from 1 species